rnacentral:misc_RNA from 1 species
UUGCAAAAAAAAAAAAAAAAUUGCCAAUAUUACUAAGUUUCUAGGUUUUACUUCCAGUGUUCUAAAAUUUCUAUUAGGAAAGACAUCCACAUACCAUAUACAACUAAAGUAGAAUGGGUAAAAGCUACAUUGAGUGAAUUUUUGUCGAGGAGAGUAAGAAUAAUUAAAAACUAACUGGGUUGACUAAGUUGGUAUACCUGGAUGUGAUCCUACUAGAUGGAGAGUCAUAUUUCAAUGCCCAGGCCUUUCACUGAAGAUAAAUGGAAGAAAGGGGCUGUACAGGAUACUAAAUGGGGAGAAGGAUAGCUCAGUGAGCUAUUUACUCUUCGGAAAAAAAAAAAUGAUCGAGUCUCCUGUUGCAACAAUCAUGCAGAAUAUUCUCGAAGAACAAUACAAGUCACAAACCAAAAACGAAUGGCCAAUCAUAUGAUCACAAUAAUUCAUGAGCAUGGCAGCAAGAGGGAUCUCAUAUACUGCUACUUGACAAAAUCAACCCAUAAAAUAAUAAUGCUAUACACACUCUAUCUUGCUACCCUCAAGGCCAGUGUCCCAAAAUUUAACAUAGUCAUAUCAAUUUGCCUGUCCCACAUUCCUUUAAAUAUUCUACUUUCUACUCCAUUCCAUCCACAAAUAUGCACACCUUAAAAUUCAAGCACAUAUCUCCUGAAUAACUAGAGAAAAAAAAAUAGAAUUGAUGUUGCCACCAGAAACUACAUAUUUGGCAAUCACUGCGACACAAAGAGAACAACCAUGCUAUGAAUGACACAUCCCAAAAUAUCGCUGAAUCAUUGCCAAGUGCCAACCCUGUAAAGCUACAAAUACAAAUUCUAAAAAUGAUUUCUAGUGCCCAUACAGAACUCAAGCAGAUAAAAAGUAGCUAGAAUAUCAUAACAUUCCUCAUCCAUAAGGGGUGCCAACAACCAUCAUGAUCUCAUUUCAGAUACUAGGUAAAUAAUAGCUAAUUUCACUGGUCUAAAGCAAGGAAAGGAGGCCAGCACAUGACUGAAAUUGAAGGACUGCAAAUUUGAAAAUUAGUUCACAUACAAAUGAACAAGAAGGCAAUAUUUGGGAUUAAAUAAACAAAAAAGUGCACCACUCCAUAUUCAUAAGGUUUCAAACUGUACAGCAUGGAAACAUACGAUAAUGAUCAAGACACAAGUUCUCAAGAUAAUUUCAUCACCACACAAGUUUCUCACAUAACAUGAUAGGCUUCCAUAGAAAAGUAAAGCCAUCACGGGGAACUUGGGAGAAUACAAUCUAACAAACAUCCAACAAAGAAUAUAUUCAUACUCUUAAAUAGAAAAAAGAAAGUUAUUUGCGACUUGCUAUAUUAGAUAUACUAGAUCACAAGCCGAGCAAAACAAGGAAAGAGCAAUUGGGGUAAACGAAAUCAUAAGCGAAAAACCAACCUUGGCGCCUGCAGGUAAACCACUAGUUACCAAGACUGCCCUCAACCUCACAAGCAUUAAGAGAGCUAUAACAAUUGAUAAUAGUCAACAAACUUAACCAUGCAACUUCUGAGAUUGACCAGUCACCAAUUCUAGCACAUAGCCCACACAUUAAGAUCAUAAUAAAAUAAGAGAACCUAACAGACACUUCUUUCAAAAUCAUAACCACAGCACACCAGAUGAACACAUGGGCCACACACAAAAUCUGUAAAAUCACAUUUUUUAGCACGAUAUCACACAACUGUCAAACUCAUGGUCAACAUUAGUCAAGCCAAACCAUGAGGUACAACUAUCCUUCUACUACAUAUCAUUGUAAAUGAAAAACACACUAAAAUCAAGCAGAGAACAGACUCAAAAGCUUCCUUAUGUAUUAGAAAUAAGAUAAUAAUGGAACUCGAUAUCAAUACCACAAGCAAGAGGCUAACUUCAUAAAUUAAGGAAAAGAAAGUAAAAUACAUCACAUUUCUCAACACCCGAUGGCAAAUAAUCAUCAUAUCCAUGCUCAAGAAAAAGAUCCAAACCAUGAACUCCAAAUUACAAGCAUCCUGCCUAGAUUUACCAAUAAAACACAAGCUUCACAUUCCCAUUCAAGCACUAGAACUAACUCAACCAACGCUGUGGAUAAUAAAGAACUAAAUACACAACAUCCAUCCCACAAUCAAGGCAUUCACAAUUUCCAACGCAGCUUUAAAGAACAUACAACCCACAAUCACCAAGUUGAUUAAUCCAGUAACCAACCAUAUAAGACAAACUAUCUAACUCUCAAUCCAUCUUACAUCACAGUGUACAAGCUGAUACACAGACAUUCCAAUGCAUUCUGAAUUAAAUACUCCCAGGCUCAUGAUCUAGAACAAACCACAAAAUUCUGUCAAAUUACAAAAUGUUUAACACCAAUUGAAAAAAGCAAUAACUUAAGCAUUUUCUUUUCCAAGUCACUAAAUGUACAAAUUUGCCUUAAAAAUCCCAACAUUAAAGAGCUACAAUAUGUAAACAGACACUCCUAAUACAAAUGACUUCUUGGGUAAUGCCCCCACUGCCGCAGCCAGCAUGACAAGAGGAGGAUCUAAUCAUCUUGAAGUCCCCAACUGCUAUACACAAACUGGUUUUUAGUAGGUUUAUAUGUGUUGCCUUCUUGUUUUGACAGGAUGUAGACAAAAAAAGGGGUUGCAACCAAAACCAACAAGCCCCGAAACUUGUUGCAAAAACAAACCGAGACGAAAGAUGAGCAUACUUUGCUACCAUCAGCCUCUUAGAGGACCUGAAAUAAGAUAGGUUUGAAUCACAAUUAUUUCAUUAAAAAAAGGCCUUUAUACGUACCUUGUUGCUGUCCUGUUCUCUUAUCUUUGAUCAAGGCAACCUCUAUCACAUUUCCAUAUUGUUCAAAUAAGGGGCGAAUCUGGCAUCAAAUGAGAAUUGUUUAACAAAACACAGGAAUUCAAACAAAGAGCACAUCUUCUUCAGUAGCAGUCCUUGGAACAGAUCCCACAAAGAGCUUGGCAAAGCUACCACCAUCAAAACGAUCAGGAGAACUUCCGCGGCCAGCAAAAGGAUACCCUCGUUUCUGUCCCGACAGAAGCUGAGGCGGAUUCAGUGGCGCCUGGUAAUUAGACCCAAACUCUCCAUCUCCUCUCAUUUGCCAAAAUCUUCCACUACGGGCAGCACCACCACCCCGUGGUCCAAAUCCUCCUACUCCUCCAAAUCCGCCAGCAGAAGAAGGAUGAUGGGGAUGACUGUCCAAAGGGUGGUUACUGCCACCACCACCAUGAUAGUUGUUAGGGCUCCGGUGGUCAUAAGUGCUGGAAGUAUUGGUACCAUCGGCGCCAUCGGCGGGAGUAUAUGAGAAGCGAGAGGGUUGACGAUUAUGGGAAGAGUCUUGGUUAUAGGAGGCGGUGGGAUUGUUGGCGGUGCCUCCGUAGCGAUCACCCCUGUGCCUAUCCAUGCAAGUAUAAGUCAGAGAUGGAAAAGCACCCAAAUAGAAAUAAAUUGAGGUUUUAGAAGAUGGGAAGAUAAGGAAGCGUAUGCUCAAGAUAACUGCGGAGGAGAGAAGAAGGAAAGG